GUAUGCACAUUUGACUAUAACUAUAUGUUCGAAGGAGAUGUACUUAACCUGUCUGACCCGUGCGCACAAGUGUCAUGCUCAGCCAGCUGCAGUAGUGUGACCAUUGUAGGAUGCCCACCACCUCCAGGCGCGAUAGGUGGAAACGAAGAGGAAAAUGAGUGGCCGCAUUGCUGCAGUGGCGUGCAGUCUAGAGUUCCAUGCGGUACAGGAGGUUAUCAGGGGAAUCAAUACUACGAUCAAUGACUUUCUUUUUUCCCUCACCGUUCCAUAGAGUAUGCGCAACGCUAGAAGUAAGUGUUUUUAAAGGACUCGUACGUUCAAAAGAGAAACAUGUGGACUCAAUAAAUUGGACAUUUUUUU